GUAGGUGGCAAGCGUUGUCCGGAAUUAUUGGGCGUAAAGCGCGCGCAGGCGGUUCGUUUAAGUCUGAUGUGAAAGCCACGGCUCAACCGUGGAGGGUCAUUGGAAACUGGAGAACUUGAGUACAGAAGAGGAAAGCGGAAUUCCACGUGUAGCGGUGAAAUGCGUAGAGAUGUGGAGGAACACCAGUGGCGAAGGCGGCUUUCUGGUCUGUAACUGACGCUGAGGCGCGAAAGCGUGGGGAGCAAACAGGAUUAGAUACCCUGGUAGUCCACGCCGUAAACGAUGAGUGCUAAGUGUUAGGGGGUUUCCGCCCCUUAGUGCUGCAGCUAACGCAUUAAGCACUCCGCCUGGGGAGUACGGCCGCAAAGGCUG
rnacentral:rRNA from 1 species